rnacentral:rRNA from 1 species
AUACGGAGGGUGCAAGCGUUAAUCGGAAUUACUGGGCGUAAAGCGUACGUAGGCGGUCCGUUAAGUUAGAUGUGAGAGCCCCGGGCUUAACCUGGGAACUGCAUUUAAAACUGGCGAACUAGAGUUGAGUAGAGGGGAGUGGAAUUUCAGGUGUAGCGGUGAAAUGCGUAGAGAUCUGAAGGAACACCAGUGGCGAAGGCGACUCCCUGGACUCGAACUGACGCUGAGGUACGAAAGCGUGGGUAGCAAACGGGAUUAGAAACCCCAGUAGUCC